rnacentral:rRNA from 1 species
AUUGAACGCUGGCGGCGUGCCUAACACAUGCAAGUCGAGCGGUAACAGGUGUAGCAAUACAUGCUGACGAGCGGCGGACGGGUGAGUAACGCUUGGGAAUCUGCCUAUUAGUGGGGGACAACCCGGGGAAACUCGGGCUAAUACCGCAUACGCUCUACGGAGGAAAGCCGGGGACCGCAAGGCCUGGCGCUAAUAGAUGAGCCCAAGUCGGAUUAGCUAGUUGGUAGGGUAANGGCCUACCAAGGCGACGAUCCGUAACUGGUCUGAGAGGACGACCAGUCACACCGGAACUGAGACACGGUCCGGACUCCUACGGGAGGCAGCAGUGGGGAAUAUUGGACAAUGGGCGAAAGCCUGAUCCAGCGACGCCGCGUGGGUGAAGAAGGCCUGCGGGUUGUAAAGCCCUUUCAGUGGGGAAGAAAAGCCUCGACCUAACACGUCGGGGUCUUGACGUAACCCAUAGAAGAAGCACCGGCUAACUCUGUGCCAGCCGCCG